rnacentral:ncRNA from 1 species
CUAAGGGGCGGCCAUUUUUAGUGGCCUGAGAAGCACCCUUUGAACCUGAUCCGGAUUAUGCCGGCGUAGGAAUAGGAG